UACGUAGGGGCCAAGCGUUGUCCGGAUUCAUUGGGCGUAAAGAGCUCGUAGGCGGCUUGGAAAGUCGGAUGUGAAAUCCCCGUGCUCAACGCGGGGCGGCCAUCCGAUACUGCCAUAGCUAGAGUCCAGUAGGGGAGUGUGGAAUUCCCGGUGUAGCGGUGAAAUGCGCAGAUAUCGGGAGGAACACCAGCGGCGAAGGCGGCACUCUGGGCUGGUACUGACGCUGAGGAGCGAAAGCGUGGGGAUCAAACAGG
rnacentral:rRNA from 1 species